rnacentral:rRNA from 1 species
UGGGGAAUCUUGCGCAAUGGACGAAAGUCUGACGCAGCGACGCCGCGUGAGUGAUGAAGGCCCUCGGGUUGUAAAGCUCUGUGGAGGGGGACGAAUAAGCGUUGGUUAAUAUCCAGCGUGAUGACGGUACCCUUUUAGCAAGCACCGGCUAACUCUGUGCCAGCAGCCGCGGUAAGACAGAGGGUGCAAACGUUGUUCGGAAUUACUGGGCGUAAAGCGCGUGUAGGCUGCUUCGCAAGUCGGAUGUGAAAGCCCUGAGCUCAACUCAGGAAGUGCAUUCGAAACUGCAAAGCUGGAGUCCUGGAGAGGAAGGCGGAAUUCUCGGUGUAGAGGUGAAAUUCGUAGAUAUCGAGAGGAACACCGGUGGCGAAGGCGGCCUUCUGGACAGUGACUGACGCUGAGACGCGAAAGCGUGGGGAGCAAACA